AACUCUGAGGAGCCUUUUCAGUUAUAUGACCAAGUUCUACGAUGCAAUCCUGGAGCAUUUGAGUAUGCUAUCCCUGGCUUCUCCAUAGCAUCUCAGGCUGUGUCUGUGUGUCUCAAGCUCACACUCUCAAGCUCACUCUCUACCACUGUUCCUCUCACUUUUUAAGAUGGCAAAAGAUAAUUGGCCUCCUGAGGAAACCCGGUUUUUUUUCCAACUUUCGCUGAAGAGAGAAAAAG